rnacentral:piRNA from 1 species
UCCUUUUGGGUCACCUUUGAAUUAUGCCUC